CACUCCUUGGCAAACGCAAUUGCAACACUUUUCUAUUUGACAGGUCAAUAGAGUACACCCCCUCCCUGUCUUCAAUGAUUUACAAAGGUUUCGCAACGACAAUAGCACAGCACUGCCUGCCACUUAAUAUCCACAAACGGGUUUUCUUCCACAGCUCAAAAGAAGACAAUGCGAUCCAGAACAAAUACACUAUCACAGGACAGCUAGAAUAGAAUAAUCUGCAUCCCCUGAAAGGUGUACAUUUCCUACACGGUUUUCUAGACAUCACUGAGCUUACAAUGCCUCCACAAUGUUGAUCCAACUGUAAUGCAGCGACAGGCUGAUUACUCAAAGAGGAGAAGAAUGCUUCUUGGAGAGACAGUAACUUGCAUCUGAUGAGCAAGAUAUGAAAACCAUAAACCCCGCCCCCAGACCUGCUCAGCUCCGAGACAGAUUCGGGUGUCUUGCGAGGCCAGAGAUUCACGGUUUGGUUCUCGCUCGGCCAGUGGAGAGCCACCCGUACCGCGAGGGCCCCAGGGCUUCACGGCUCGGCUGUGCUGGUGGAAAGGAAUAUUAGAGUACCCCAGUUUCAGUGGACAACAGGACAGCACAGAGUGUGUUCAGUGGAGUUCUAACUGGGAAGAGACUCUAGUAGGUCAGCAAGAACAGCCGGGGGGACACUUAAAGGUGCGGACCAACAUGGAGAGGGAUGAUCUACAGUGUUGCACCUUUACAGAUGUCAAACGACUACACUAAAACCGGAAGUCAUUCUCCCCCUCCUCCAAGAGUCUCGCCAGCGGCCCAAAACAGAACGCUCCGCCAACCAAUGGGAUCUGCCAGGGGGCGGGGCAGCAGCGGGGGAAGCCAGUCGUAUGGACGAGAAGGCUGGACUUCCUGUUGAUAAUUGACAGGGGAGGGUUCCAAUGGUUAUCCUGGAGCUGUCAGGCAACGCAGCCAGUGAGGGAGCGACGGAGGUUGGGACUGUGUUGCCAUGGUGCUUAAAGAUGCGACACGGGCGCCUUUUCAAAAU